rnacentral:rRNA from 1 species
UAGGGAUGAGCAUGCGUCCUAUUAGCUAGUUGGUAGUGUAACGGACUACCAAGGCAACGAUAGGUAGGGGGCCUGAGAGGGUGAUCCCCCACACUGGUACUGAGACACGGACCGGACUCCUACGGGAGGCAGCAGUGAGGAAUAUUGGUCAAUGGACGAAAGUCUGAACCAGCCAUGCCGCGUGCAGGAUGACGGCCCUAUGGGUUGUAAACUGCUUUUAUAUGGGAAUAAACCCUCGGACGUGUCCGAGGCUGAAGGUACCAUAAGAAUAAGGACCGGCUAACUCCGUGCCAGCAGCCGCGGCUAUAUCGAGGGUCCAAGCGUUAUCCGGAUUUAUUGGGUUUAAAGGGUCCGUAGGCGGGAUAUUAAGUCAGUGGUGAAAGCCUGCAGCUUAACUGUAGCACUGCCAUUGAUACUGGUAUUCUUGAGUAUAGUUGAAGUGGGCGGAAUAUGUCAUGUAGCGGUGAAGAUACGAUAGCGACGCAGCUCACCAAGUUAUAACUGACGCUCAUGCACAUCACUGACGCUAAGGGACGAAAGCGUGGGUAGCAAACAGGAUUAGAUACCCUGGUAGUCCACGCCGUAAACGAUGAUCACUCGCUGUUGGCGAUAUACAGUCAGCGGCCAAGCGAAAGCAUUAAGUGAUCCACCUGGGGAGUACGCUCGCAAGAGUGAAACCUCAAAGGAAUUGACGGGGGCCCGCACAAGCGGUGGAGCAUGUGGUUUAAUUCGAUGAUACGCGAGGAACCUUACCUGGGCUUAAAUGUAGAUUGACAGGCUGAGAAUCAGUUUUUCUUCGGACAAUUUACAAGGUGCUGCAUGGUUGUCGUCAGCUCGUGCCGUGAGGUGUCGGGUUAAGUCCCAUAACGAGCGCAACCCCUAUUCUUAGUUGCCAGCGAGUAAUGUCGGGGACUCUUAGGAAAACUGCCCGCGCAAGCGGUGAGGAAGGUGGGGAUGACGUCAAAUCAUCACGGCCCUUACGUCCAGGGCCACUUACGUGCUACAAUGGUAGUGACAAAGGGCAGCUACACAGCGAUGUGAUGCUAAUCUCUUAGUGCAAAACACUAUCUCAGUUCGGAUCGCAGUCUGCAACUCGACCUGCGUGAAGCUGGAAUCGCUAGUAAUCGCGCAUCAGCCAUGGCGAUCGGUGAAUACGUUCCCGGGCCUUGUACACACCGCCCGUCAAGCCCAUAUGGAAGCUGGGGGUUGCCUGAAGUCGGUCACCCCGAAAGGAGCUGCCUAGGGUAAAGUACUAGUGACUGGGGCUAAGUCGUAACAAGGUAGCCGGUACCGGAAGGUGCGGAU